GAUUAAUGGCAGAGUUAAAUAAUUGAAUCCCUUAGAUGAUCAAACAUAUACUCGCUUUCUAAUGACAUACGUAGUCUAGAGAAGUUCAAUUUAAGAGAUAAAUCAUCUCCGACGUGGUUUCACAUGCCAUGACAUCAUAAUUUUUAUUGUAGAAAAUACCCUUUCAGCAACCAUCGUGACAGCCCCUAUCCUUUCCUAGCAAGCUUUCCAAGAACCAUUUUUCAGGAUUCGGCAGGCUCAUAAAAAAAAUGAGGAUAGAGAGAAGCGUACAAGAAAUCCCUUGCUUGAUAGGGCUUGAGGUUAGAGAUCCAAGACGAAAUCUCGACGCAUAAAACCAAAUGGUAUAUCUGCCAUCUGCAGCACUGAAAGCAAGUAUCCUGUGCCUUUUGGAUCUGGAAUUCUUUCAUUACGUUUGGAAAGCUGUAGUAGUUGACUUCAUGCAUGCUUUCACCGUGAAGACCUCUUUAUAUCCUAGCCCUCAGGGCCCAGGGGUAGAAUUUCUGGCCGGAGAUAUUUGUUAAAAUCCAAUGGCGAUUCCUUGCACCAGAUCUUUCCUGGUAUUCAAAUGGUUUAUUGGCGGGCUGGGACUAGAAAACAUGCCGAGUCUCCCUGCUUGAAGCCGCGCCAUUUGAGCAAGAAUAAUACUCCAUCUGCUGAGAAUGUGAAAAUCAAACCACUCACGAGUGAAAUACUUGGGUACGCCUACUGCAACCUUCAAAUCAAGGAAUAAUAAAAAAAUAUCCACAACUUAUACACGGAAGAGAAAACAUUAUCA
rnacentral:misc_RNA from 1 species